rnacentral:rRNA from 1 species
UUGCUCCCUGAAGUCAGCGGCGGACGGGUGAGUAACACGUGGGCAACCUGCCUGUAAGACUGGGAUAACUCCGGGAAACCGGGGCUAAUACCGGAUAAUUCUUUCCCUCACAUGAGGGAAAGCUGAAAGAUGGUUUCGGCUAUCACUUACAGAUGGGCCCGCGGCGCAUUAGCUAGUUGGUGAGGUAACGGCUCACCAAGGCAACGAUGCGUAGCCGACCUGAGAGGGUGAUCGGCCACACUGGGACUGAGACACGGCCCAGACUCCUACGGGAGGCAGCAGUAGGGAAUCUUCCGCAAUGGACGAAAGUCUGACGGAGCAACGCCGCGUGAGUGAUGAAGGUUUUCGGAUCGUAAAACUCUGUUGUUAGGGAAGAACAAGUACCGGAGUAACUGCCGGUACCUUGACGGUACCUAACCAGAAAGCCACGGCUAACUACGUGCCAGCAGCCGCGGUAAUACGUAGGUGGCAAGCGUUGUCCGGAAUUAUUGGGCGUAAAGCGCGCGCAGGCGGUUCCUUAAGUCUGAUGUGAAAGCCCCCGGCUCAACCGGGGAGGGUCAUUGGAAACUGGGGAACUUGAGUGCAGAAGAGAAGAGUGGAAUUCCACGUGUAGCGGUGAAAUGCGUAGAGAUGUGGAGGAACACCAGUGGCGAAGGCGACUCUUUGGUCUGUAACUGACGCUGAGGCGCGAAAGCGUGGGGAGCAAACAGGAUUAGAUACCCUGGUAGUCCACGCCGUAAACGAUGAGUGCUAAGUGUUAGAGGGUUUCCGCCCUUUAGUGCU